ensembl:lncRNA
AUCUUUAUCUGGGGAUCACUCCUCUUGGAGCCCUUCUGUGAGCCCAGGACAUGGCUUUCUCAGCUGCAACCGAGCUACUAACACUGUGAAAAUAAUAGAGAAAUCCAGCUGGGGAUGCUCUGCAGUGCCACUCACAUCCCUGAACUCCUGGAGCUCUAUGAGGUGGGAGAGCAGGAAAGCAGCUGGCAAGAGCCAACAAGCUGAGACCCCUGCUUUUGAUUCCUUGUAAUACCUGGAAGAAGUCAAGAUAUCACUUUAAUUCCAAGGAAGUUGGAAGUACUUGCAAAGCUGUGCGGUGAGCAUUUUUCCCAUGCUGAUAGGGUGAGAGAAAACCAAGACCCCAGGAGACUCUUUCCUAUCUUUACUAGAAGCAUAGGGCUCUGUAAUGAGGUUCUUAUUAACAACAUACUUGCUAAGAGAGAUGAAAAAGGUGUUGGUUUUUCUUCAUCGCUGCUUGAUUGCUCUGUGGGAGUGUGAUCUUCCCCUUGGUGCAUGAUGGUUGUAGUUAGAGCAGCCCUUCCUUUUGCUUACACCUACCUGUGCCUCUGCAAGUGAGGACCCAGGAGGAAUGUAGAGGAGUUGUUGAGUGGGAAGGGGCCCUACAGCUGCUCUCAGCAUCCAGAAAUACAGCUACAAGCAGCUAAGUGCUUCUCACUGCUUCCAGAGACCUUCUGGUACAUCUUAAAGGAGUGAGAAUGAGGCAGCAGUGCAGAGGUAAAUCCAACAAGUUAUGAACAGAAAACAGAAUCUCUUGCUGAGCAGAAAUGGAGUAAUUAAGAGACUAGUGGUUUCCACCACUUUGCAGGGACCGGAUUGUAACUGCUCAGCUUGGUGCAAAAUGACUGGAGAAAAUAGCAGUCACCCUUUCUUAAGGAGAAUUUUUGUGUUUGUUUCAUUACCUACAUAAGCUGUUCUAAGCCUGAAAUAUUUCUGCUAUUAUCAUGCAGUCUUGUGCCUAUAUUUUGCCUAAUUUUCAAAUUGUUAUGCCAGGGAGAUGUGAAAUUUCACGCUAUAGUCUCAACUUGAUCCAUAAUACUUGAUUUAUUAUGAUAAUACUUAAUUAAGAGAACGUGAAAUUAAAAUGCAUUCUUAUCUAGGGGGAUGAAAAUGAGUAUACAGAAUAAAACUAGAAGAAAGAAAAAGUGAGCAGUAAUGCAACUUAACGUCCUGUAUCUUUUAAACUACUUUUGAAAUACAGAAAAUAUGUAGGAAUUAGAAAAUUUGCUGAGAGAAGGCACAUGUUAAGAGCUGCCAAAGCUCAUGUCUCUGUAGAAGUAAUAAAGCAGUCUUUUCU